ACGAACGCUGGCGGCAUGCCUCACACAUGCAAGUCGAACGAGACCUUCGGGUCUAGUGGCGCACGGGUGCGUAACGCGUGGGAACCUGCCCUUAGGUUCGGAAUAACUCCCCGAAAGGGGUGCUAAUACCGGAUAAUGUCUUCGGACCAAAGAUUUAUCGCCUUUGGAUGGGCCCGCGUUGGAUUAGCUAGUUGGUAGGGUAAAAGCCUACCAAGGCGACGAUCCAUAGCUGGUCUGAGAGGAUGAUCAGCCACACUGGGACUGAGACACGGCCCAGACUCCUACGGGAGGCAGCAGUGGGGAAUAUUGGACAAUGGGCGAAAGCCUGAUCCGGCAAUGCCGCGUGAGUGAUGAAGGCCUUAGGGUUGUAAAGCUCUUUUACCCGGGAUGAUAAUGACAGUACCGGGAGAAUAAGCUCCGGCUAACUCCGUG
rnacentral:rRNA from 1 species